AAGUCGUAACAAGGUCUCCGUUGGUGAACCAGCGGAGGGAUCAUUACCGAGUUUACAACUCCCAAACCCACUGUGAACUUAUACCCAAAACGUUGCCUCGGCGGGCACAGCGGUACCCGAGCCCCCCCGCAAGGGAGGCAGAGGCGCCCGCCCGCCAGGGGACCAAAACUCUUCUGUAUACCCAUAGCGGCAUGUCUGAGUGGAUUUACAAACAAAUGAAUCAAAACUUUCAACAACGGAUCUCUUGGUUCUG
rnacentral:misc_RNA from 1 species